CCCUUAGAUGUCCUGGGCCGCACGCGCGCUACACUGAUUCAUGCAACAAGUUUUGUCCUUGGCUGAUAGGCCUGGGUAAUCUUUGAACGUGAAUCGUGAUGGGGAUAGAUGAUUGCAAUUAUUCAUCUUCAACGAGGAAUUCCUAGUAAACGCAAGUCAUCAGCUUGCAUUGAUUACGUCCCUGCCCUUUGUACACACCGCCCGUCGCACCUACCGAUUGAAUGGUCCGGUGAAAUCUUCGGAUCUGAGAGAUGUCUGAUUAAUUUCGGACGCCUUUUGGAAAAGUUGCUUAAACCUUACCAUUUAGAGGAAGGUGAAGUCGUAACA
rnacentral:rRNA from 1 species